CGAGAGAUGGGAUAGUCGCUGCUGCCCUCUUGCUCCCGGCGCCGGCCAAGGUGGCGUAGGAGGAAGAUGACGGCGACGAGAGCGGCGGCGGAGGAGGACGACGAGAGAGACGAGAGUGGUGGUGUUGGAGGUGGAGGUGUGGGAGAUGGUGGUGGUUUAGGAAGAGAUGAGGCGAGGUGGAGGCGGAGGAGCCGGCCGGUGGUGGCGGAGGAGCCGGCCGGUGGUGGCGACCAAGUUGGGAAAGAAAGAGAGGAUAACCUUAGGGAUUAGUAUAAUAAGGUAGGGGCAAAAUAGGUAUUUUGUUUAGGUUUUAACUCUAGUAUACAUUUAGUCCAUGUUAACCCGAGUUAAACUAACAGGGGAUAACUGCGGGGGUAUUUUGGAAUAACGGUGGAACAUAUGAGGGGUAUUUUAGAAAGGAAAAAAAAGUAGGGGUAGAUCGGAUAUUUCCGAACGCAUGAAGGGUAUAUAGGCAAUUAU
rnacentral:lncRNA from 1 species